CAGCCGCCGCGGGAAUACGUAGGGUGCGAGCGUUAAUCGGAAUUACUGGGCGUAAAGCGUGCGCAGGCGGUUCGUUAAGACAGAUGUGAAAUCCCCGGGCUUAACCUGGGAACUGCAUUUGUGACUGGCGAGCUAGGGUAUGGCAGAGGGGGGUAGAAUUCCACGUGUAGCAGUGAAAUGCGUAGAGAUGUGGAGGAAUACCGAUGGCGAAGGCAGCCCCCUGGGCCAAUACUGACGCUCAUGCACGAAAGCGUGGGGAGCAAACAGGAUUAGAGACCCCAGUAGUCCCUGUCUCUUAUAA
rnacentral:rRNA from 1 species